UGCCCCAUGGCUGAGUUGGUUACAGCGUCCGACUGUUACGCAGACAUGCUGUGAGAUGCAAUCGGAAGGUCGUGAGUUCGAGCCUCACUGGGGCAG